rnacentral:rRNA from 1 species
GACGAAGGUGGCGAGCGUUACUCGGAAUUACUAGGCGUAAAGCGUGGGUAGGUGGCCCGGUCAGUCUGCUGUGAAAGCUCCCGGCUUAACUGGGAGAGGCCAGUGGAUACUGCUGGGCUUGAAUGUGGGAGGGGUGACUGGAAUUCCUGGUGUAGCGGUGAAAUGCGUAGAUAUCAGGAGGAACACCGAUGGCGAAAGCAGGUCACUGGACCACUAUUGACACUGAGCCACGAAAGCUAGGGGAUCAAACAGG